rnacentral:tRNA from 2 species
UGGAGUAUCGCCAAGCGGUAAGGCAGCGGGUUUUGAUCCCGCCAUUCCCAGGUUCGAAUCCUGGUACUCCAG